GGUCAGCAUACUGCCGUGAAUACGUUCCCGGGCCUUGUACACACCGCCCGUCACACCACUGAGAGUUGGGAAUACCCGAAGCCUGUGAGCUAACAUUUAUGAGGCAGCAGUCGAAGGUAGAAUCAAUGAUUGGGGUGAAGUCGUAACAAGGUACC
rnacentral:rRNA from 1 species